UACGGGGGGGGCAAGCGUUGUUCGGAAUUACUGGGCGUAAAGGGUCCGUAGGUGGCUUGCUAAGUCAGACGUGAAAUCCCUCGGCUUAACCGGGGAACUGCGUCUGAGACUGGCGAGCUUGAGUGCAGGAGAGGAACGCGGAAUUCCAGGUGUAGCGGUGAAAUGCGUAGAUAUCUGGAGGAACACCGGUGGCGAAGGCGGCGUUCUGGACUGCAACUGACACUGAAAGACGAAAGCCAGGGAGCAAACGGG
rnacentral:rRNA from 1 species